rnacentral:rRNA from 1 species
AUAAACAACCAAUCCAACCUAAGAAUGCCUGGCCUUGUCUGAUCUCAGAAGAUAAGCAGGGUUGGGCCCGAUUAGCGCUGGGAUGGCUAGACCGUGUUUGUG